GACGAACGCUGGCGGCGUGCUUAACACAUGCCAGUCGAACGGUUCUUCCCUGCUUUUGUGGUGUGCUCGAGUGGCGAACGGGUUAGUAACACGUUAGUAACCUGCCCUUUACUUUGGGAUAACUUCAGGAAACAGGGGCUAAUACCGGUUAUGAUCUCCCGUUGCAUGUUGUGGGUUGGAAAGUUUCGGUGGUUGGGGCUGGACUGGCGGCUUAUCAGCUUGUUGGUGGGUUAGUGGCUUACCAAGGCUUUGACGGGUAGCCGGCCUGAGAGGGUGACCGGCCACAUUGGGACUGAGAUACGGCGCAGAAUCCUACGGGAGGCAGCAGUGGGGAGUAUUGCACAAUGGGCGGAAGCCUGAUGCAGCAGCGCCGCGUGCGGGAUGACGGCCUUCGGGUUGUGAACCGCUUUCGCCUGUGACGAAGCGUGAGUGACGGUAAUGGGUAAAGAAGCACCGGCUAACUACGUG
rnacentral:rRNA from 1 species